ACAAUCCACGCCUUUAUAUAAGCUAAUCGAGUAGCGUGCUAUGAAGAGGAUUUAAAGGCUGGUAGAAUUUAUAAGAUUAAGAACUUUUUGGUCAUCGACAACAAAAAAGUUUCGAGGUGACUUCUCACAAGUUCUUAAUUCAGUUUACUCAGCAAACAGUUUUUGCAGCCACCGAUCAUUCUGGCGAUGAUAUUGAAAGGCAACACUUUAGGAUUCGUUCUUAUGCUGAGUUCAAUGAAGCUGUCAACAAGAACGAGGGUCUAUAUGAUGACCUUGGAAAGCGGGCUCUCAUCAACGAUGAGAACUUCAAGAAUGGUGUGACUAAUAAAAGAAUAGACAUUCACUUGCAAUUAAAAGAUGGACCAAUUGUUCGUGUUACACUUUGGGGUAACGUUGCUGCCAAUUUUCAAAAGAAACUGAUGGAAAGUGUUGACAAACCUAUGGUGCUUCUCGCUACAACAAUGAACCCAAGAACAUUUAGAGACGUAUUUUGUUUGUCCUCCACUUCUUCUACAAGGAUUUUUUUCGAUAAUGAUAUUGAACCAACUAAUGACUAUUUGACAUGGCUGAGAGAAAACGGAAAAGACUCCAAGGUUAUAACAUCAGAGGUUACA